CCUACGGGGGGCUGCAGUGGGGAAUAUUGGACAAUGGGGGCAACCCUGAUCCAGCCAUGCCGCGUGUGUGAAGAAGGCCCUCGGGUUGUAAAGCACUUUCAGUGAGGAAGAACGCCUGGUGGUUAAUACCCAUCAGGAAAGACAUCACUCACAGAAGAAGCACCGGCUAACUCCGUGCCAGCAGCCGCGGUAAUACGGAGGGUGCGAGCGUUAAUCGGAAUUACUGGGCGUAAAGCGCGCGUAGGUGGCUUGAUAAGCCGGUUGUGAAAGCCCGGGGCUCAACCUGGGAACGGCAUCCGGAACUGUCAAGCUAGAGUGCAGGAGAGGAAGGUAGAAUUCCCGGUGUAGCGGUGAAAUGCGUAGAGAUCGGGAGGAAUACCAGUGGCGAAGGCGGCCUUCUGGACUGACACUGACACUGAGGUGCGAAAGCGUGGGUAGCAAACAGGAUUAGAUACCCGUGUAGUC
rnacentral:rRNA from 1 species